ACUAUUUUGGCAGAUUAGUGCAGUAAAUUUAGAAUUUAUUUAUGUAAUAAAUAUUACAAGUAGUA
rnacentral:tRNA from 1 species